AUAAAUGUUGUGUCAUAUUGAGAUUACUAAAGCAACUCUAUUUUAUUUAACUGCAUAAUCGUUUUCUUCUUCUUUCAGCUUCUCCCUUUAGGGGUCACCACAGCUGAUCAUCUGCAUCACUCUAGUAUCCUGUUAUGUCACACCAAACCUCUGUAUGUUCUCCUUCUGUGGUCGUCCUCUUUUGUUUGGCAGCUUCAUCAUUAACAUCCUCUGCACAUGUCAGCCUUGUCUUUCUAACUGUGUCUCCAAACCACCCAACCUGAGCUGUCCCGCUGAGAUACUCCUUUCUAAUCUUAACAUCUCGGGUCUCACUGUCAUCUUGUAAUCCUUUGCUUGCUGCUAUCUAUCAGUCACAAGUCAACCCUGACACUCCUCUCCACCCACCUCCAUCUUGUCUGCACUUUUGUCUUCACCACUGUCUCCUGCUCAUUCGCACACAUGUAUUCGGUUUUGCUUCGACUGACUUUUAUUCCUCUUCUCUCCAGAGGAUACCUUCACCUCUCCAUGCUCUCCUCAACUCCUCAAAGUCCUCCUUCCACCUUCCUGACACACACUUUUCUCUCUUUCUAUCUUUAAUCACGCAAAGCUGCUGCUAAUCCUUUCCAGCUCGAUCCCUCUGUCUAACCAAUCGAUGCAAAAUCUUUUGUCUCCUUCCUUAAGACAUAAAAGUAACUUCAACAAAGUUAACUCGGCCUGUUCAGCAUUUACACUUAGGAUAUUUUAUGACUCAUAUCAUCAUCAUCAUCAUCAUCUCUAACUCUGAAUUUGAUAUGUUUAGUUAGAUGAGAGACAGAGAAGAAAACUCAGUUUCUGCUAAUAGAUAUAACACUUUUUUUGGGUAGUUUUUUACUCUUGUUUAUGUGUUUUUUUUAUGUAAAGUGAUGCAACACACACAAACAGACAUACACAAAUAAUGUGAUUGUUUUGAUGAAUGCAAAAAGAGAAAUGCAAAAAGAAAACGCAUAAAAUAAACUGUUCACUUUAUUUCUCCAACCUCGUUUCAGCUCUAAGAUUUAUGUUGACAUGGUGACGUUGGAUGGAAAAUUAAGAAAAAGCUGAUGGAAAACUUUUUUUCAUAUGUGUGUAAAAAUAUACACCACCCCUAUAAAAAGCCAUUUUAUUAGCAUCAGUAAAUUAUCUCAUUUUCUUUUCUUGCCCAUGAAGUAAGCAGACAAUGGAGAAAUGAAGGGCAGUAACAGGAGUGGUGGCUCAUGGUAAACUGACACCCCAGUUGUGUACUGAAGCCUGUGUGACUGAAAAAUAGCUGAGUCAUUAGGUUGGCACUGUCACUGCACAUAUAACACUGACUACUGACCAGCUACACAAGAUCUGACACAAGACUGACCGGUGAAGAAAACACUGACGUGGAGCCAUGCUGUGACUGAUAUGUUCUGCGCUGCACAAUGUGGCUGCCUGGGUCGUGUCUUGCUGUUGCUCCUCAGCAAAGGACGGGACAUCAUCAGGAGAGGCAUACAAGUGUAAAGGAAAGCAAGUGUGGACAGUGUCUGAUGAUGCAGCGACAUCCAGUCAAAAGCCUUCCUAAUUCCUCUCAGCGGUGCGGAGAGGAACGACAGCCACAUUUUCUCCACCCGGACACCCUGCAAAGUGUUUAAUCUCCGCUCUGGUCUGACUCUGUGUUGCUCUGUGCUUGUUAUAAUGAUGACUUAUCUAAAAACUCCUGUUUGGGAAGCUGGAUAAUGUCUGACAGCUGACAAAUACAGCAGCAUCAGUCAGGUCAUCAUGUCACAUCAUGACUUUAACCAAUAAAGAGUUGUGCAGGAUGU